rnacentral:lncRNA from 1 species
CUCCACCUGAGCUGGUGCCUGCAAGCCCUCUAGGGACCCUGUCUUCUUUGGAUCCUCCUAACUCGAAGCCUGGCAUGUGUAGGGUGCUCAGUUAAUGUUUGCUGAAAGAAUAAUUUUUGUGGGACAGGAAUUGCAAGUGGCUCACCUGGGCUUCAGGCAAGCUGUUGGCUGGGGCUGGCUAAACAACAUACAAAGAUGUGCUUCCAGGCUCACUCAAGUGGUUGCUGCAGGCUUCUGUCCUUGCUGGCCAUGGGUGUCUCCUCAGUUCCUCACCACCAUGCAGGCCUCUUGCGGGCUGCCUGUAUAUCCUCAGGACGCGGUGGCUGGCUUCCCCCAGAGUGUGUGACUGAGCCAGAGCCAAGAUGGAAGCCACAGAGUUUUUUUUUUUUUAGCUUUAGUGAGGUAUAAAUGACAAAUUAAAAUUGUAGAUAUUUAAGGAGUACAACUUGAUGUUAUGAUAUAUGUAUACAUUGUGAAGCGAUCACCACAAUCAAGCUAAUUAACAUCACCUCACAUAGUUACCUUGUGUGUGUGUGUGUGUGUGGCGAGAACACUUAAGAUUUACCCUUUAGCAAAUGUCAAAUAUACAACACGGUGUUGUUAACUACAGUCACCAUGCUUGUACAUUUGAUCUCCAGAACUUGCUCGUCUUGUAUAACUGAAACUUUGAACUCUUUGAAGAACCUCCACCUGUCCCCCACCCUAGCCCUUGG